AUACCGUGACAUUUUUUGAAGUAAUCUUUGAAUCUUUCCCAUGCUUCUAGAUAGCUCUCGAAGUCUUUUUGCUUGAAAACAUGGACUUCGUUUCAGAUCU
rnacentral:snoRNA from 1 species